UGGGGAUUUUAGUAUUCAAGUUGGUAACUCUGAUUAUUGAAUCCUUUCAAUACUUAAUUUCCUCUUAACAGAUUAAAGAAUCUGAAAUAACAGUUACAAUAGAAGAUAACACCACACCCAGAUCAAAACUAUCCUCCUUAAUGCUAAAAGUAGUCACUUUAGAUUUUAUUGAUCUAAUCCAAAGUAUCUUAUAACUUCUGGCUGGAAUUAAGGUCAGUACUGUAUUUGUGUCAAUCAUGAAUAAACUGUGAAAUAAAAUAAAGGCUUCAUGGGUCUUUAGAUAGCUAGGUCAAAAAUAUGCUUGCAAUAUGUGGUAAAAGCUGAAAUUUAGUAAAACCUGGAUAUAUUUCAGAGUUGGCUUACUAGCAAACAUGGUUCCCUGAGUACUGUUUGUUUUUCUAAUUAGUAUAAUUUAUUUGGUUUUUGAAUAUUGAAUUUAUUUCAUCUUACUACUACCUGAGU
rnacentral:lncRNA from 1 species